rnacentral:rRNA from 1 species
AAACUAACUAGGAUGCCUUCAGUAGCGGCGAGCGAAGCAGGCAUAGCUCAAAUUUGUAAUCUGGCUGUUUUACAGUCCGAGUUGUAAUUUCUAGAGGCGAGUUCGGUGGCAGCCCUGGUUCAAGUCCGCUGGAACGCGGCGUCAUGGAGGGUGAGAAUCCCGUGAAUGAUCAGGUGUCUGUUGCUAUGUGAACCGUUUUCGAAGAGUCGAGUUGUUUGGGAAUGCAGCUCUAAAUGGGAGGUAAAUUUCUUCUAAAGCUAAAUAUUGGCCAGAGACCGAUAGCGAACAAGUAGAGUGAUCGAAAGAUGAAAAGAACUUUGAAAAGAGAGUUAAACAGUACGUGAAAUUGUUGAAAGGGAAGCGCUUGAGAUCAGACUUCCUGCGCAGACUAUCCUUGCUUCUGCUUGGGUCAAUAGUCUGUGCGUGGAGGCCAGCAUCAGUUUUGACGGUCGGAUAAAGGUUUGGGGAAGGUGGCUCACCUCGGUGAGUGUUAUAGCCCCAGAUGCAAUACGGCCAGUUGGGACUGAGGACCGCGGCUUUGCCUAGGAUGCUGGCGUAAUGGUCUUAAGCGAC